rnacentral:tRNA from 1 species
AACAAGACAGAAGAUAGUCAAUCUUACUGUCGCGCAUACCUGAAGCGGGUCUGCCGCCUUCGUUUCUCUUUCUUCGCGAAUGACUAACCUCCCUUUGGCUAUGCCCACAAGGCGUGCCUUGCCGGUGCAAAUGGUGCCAGCAGGGUUCGGUUUAGGGCUUGUAGCUCAGUUGGUUAGAGCGCGCGCUUGAUAAGCGUGAGGUCGGAGGUUCAAGUCCUCCCAGGCCCACCAUUAACAGUGCAACCCGAAGGGUUGUCGCUGCCGGUCACUACGAUCGGGAGGCUAUCAGGGGCCGUAGCUCAGCUGGGAGAGCGCCUGCUUUGCAAGCAGGAUGUCGUCGGUUCGAUCCCGUCCGGCUCCACCAACACGCGAUCCGCAGGAUCGCCCUGAAGUCUUGAGCAGAGAUUGAUGGCAAAGUCAUUCCAAAAUGAGUUUGCUGAGAUCUUAACGCUCCCCGCCUGUUCUGUUUGAUAUCGUAUAGAUAAGAUUUGAUCUAACUUCACGGUCCGCGAGCAGCGUGAUUUGUCGCAGGGAAUACUCGUUCCCUUGCCUAUGACGGGUAAGCCUAACCGCGCCCUCGAACCAAUCUCGAUCAAGCUGGUCUUUUUGUG